rnacentral:rRNA from 1 species
UUAUUUUAUUUUGGCAGGGCCGGCGGGCCCAACCCCUCGCAAGUCCGUAACAAGGUAACAAAAUUUUUUUUUUUUUUUUUUCUAUUGUCGGACGGUUUAGUAAUGUCUGGUAUACUGCCUGAUGGAUGGUGAUAACUACUGUAUUCUUGUUUCUAAUACCGCAUAACGUCGCAAGACCAAAGAGGGGGACCUUCGGGCCUCUUGCCAUCGGAUGUGCCCAGAUGGGAUUAGCUAGUAGGUGGGGUAACGGCUCACCUAGGCGACGAUCCCUAGCUGGUCUGAGAGGAUGACCAGCCACACUGGAACUGAGACACGGUCCAGACUCCUACGGGAGGCAGCAGUGGGGAAUAUUGCACAAUGGGCGCAAGCCUGAUGCAGCCAUGCCGCGUGUAUGAAGAAGGCCUUCGGGUUGUAAAGUACUUUCAGCGGGGAGGAAGGCGAUAAGGUUAAUAACCUUGUCGAUUGACGUUACCCGCAGAAGAAGCACCGGCUAACUCCGUGCCAGCAGCCGCGGUAAUACGGAGGGUGCAAGCGUUAAUCGGAAUUACUGGGCGUAAAGCGCACGCAGGCGGUCUGUCAAGUCGGAUGUGAAAUCCCCGGGCUCAACCUGGGAACUGCAUUCGAAACUGGCAGGCUAGAGUCUUGUAGAGGGGGGUAGAAUUCCAGGUGUAGCGGUGAAAUGCGUAGAGAUCUGGAGGAAUACCGGUGGCGAAGGCGGCCCCCUGGACAAAGACUGACGCUCAGGUGCGAAAGCGUGGGGAGCAAACAGGAUUAGAUACCCUGGUAGUCCACGCCGUAAACGAUGUCGACUUGGAGGUUGUGCCCUUGAGGCGUGGCUUCCGGAGCUAACGCGUUAAGUCGACCGCCUGGGGAGUACGGCCGCAAGGUUACAACUCAAAUGAAUUGACGGGGGCCCGCACAAGCGGUGGAGCAUGUGGUUUAAUUCGAUGCAACGCGAAGAACCUUACCUACUCUUGACAUCCAGAGAACUUAUCAGAGAUGCUUUGGUGCCUUCGGGAACUCUGAGACAGGUGCUGCAUGGCUGUCGUCAGCUCGUGUUGUGAAAUGUUGGGUUAAGUCCCGCAACGAACGCCAACCCUUAUCCUUUGUUGCCAGCGGGUUAGGCCGGGAAACUCCAAAGGAGACUGGCCCGUGAUAAACCUGGAAGAAAGUGGGGGAUAUCACCUCAAGUCAUCCUGGCCCUUACCAAUAAGGC